rnacentral:rRNA from 1 species
CAGUCGCCGCGGUAAUACGUAGGUGGCAAGCGUUGUCCGGAAUUAUUGGGCGUAAAGGACUCGCAGGCGGUUUCUUAAGUCUGAUGUGAAAGCCCCCGGCUCAACCGGGGAGGGUCAUUGGAAACUGGGAAACUUGAGUGCAGAAGAGGAGAGUGGAAUUCCACGUGUAGCGGUGAAAUGCGUUGAGAUCGGAAAGAACACCAACGGCGAAAGCACUCUGCUGGGCCGACACUGACACUGAGAGACGAAAGCUAGGGGAGCAAAUGGGAUUAGAUACCCCUGUAGUCCCUGUCUCUUAUAA